GACGAACGCUGGCGGCGUGCCUAAUACAUGCAAGUAGAACGCUGAAGGAGGAGCUUGCUUCUCUGGAUGAGUUGCGAACGGGUGAGUAACGCGUAGGUAACCUGCCUGGUAGCGGGGGAUAACUAUUGGAAACGAUAGCUAAUACCGCAUAAUAGUAGAUGUUGCAUGACAUUUGCCUAAAAGGUGCAAUUGCAUCACUACCAGAUGGACCUGCGUUGUAUUAGCUAGUUGGUGGGGUAACGGCUCACCAAGGCGACGAUACAUAGCCGACCUGAGAGGGUGAUCGGCCAAACUGGGACUGAGACACGGCCCAGACUCCUACGGGAGGCAGCAGUAGGGAAUCUUCGGCAAUGGACGGAAGUCUGAACGAGCAACGCCGCGUGAGUGAAGAAGGUUUUCGGAUCGUAAAGCUCUGUUGUAAGAGAAGAACGAGUGUGAGAGUGGAAAGUUCACACUGUGACGGUAUCUUACCAGAAAGGGACGGCUAACUACGUG
rnacentral:rRNA from 1 species